UGUUGGUUCUCGUCGACUGAGUGCAGACGAAGUAGAAAUACUUAAACAGUCAAACAAUCACAUACAACAACUAUCUCAGAGCUACAGUCUAUUUACCGACAUCGAAACAGAAGAGGAAACGAAAGAAGGCGAUAAGGGAAACGACGACCUUGAAAUCGAUGAUAAUUUUGCAAAUGUUUGUCCACCGUUUUUUGACCCCGCCCUUGGAAUUGACAAUGCAUGGGCUGAGCAUUUCGUCAGUGGAAAAGGAAUUGUGGUGGGGAUAACAGAUGUCGGUCGAAAUACAAAUGGAAUUAGAAUAAUGAAU